AGCCGGGUGGUGAUACACGCUAGAGUGCAAAUCUAGAGACGCACACCCAAAGGUGUGCCUCGGCUU
rnacentral:tRNA from 1 species